CCUACGGGAGGCAGCAGUGAGGAAUAUUGGUCAAUGGACGCAAGUCUGAACCAGCCAUGCCGCGUGCAGGAUGACGGCUCUAUGAGUUGUAAACUGCUUUUGUACGAGGGUAAACCCCGAUACGUGUAUCGUGUUGAACGUAUCGUACGAAUAAGGAUCGGCUAACUCCGGGCCAGCAGCCGCGGUAAUACGGAGGAUCCGAGCGUUAUCCGGAUUUAUUGGGUUUAAAGGGUGCGUAGGCGGUUUGAUAAGUUAGAGGUGAAAUGUCGGGGCUCAACCCCGCAACUGCUUCCAAUACUGUUGGACUAGAGAAUAGUUGCGGUAGGCGGAAUGUAUGGUGUAGCGGUGAAAUGCUUAGAGAUCAUACAGAACACCGAUUGCGAAGGCAGCUUACCAAACUAUAUCUGACGUUGAGGCACGAAAGCGUGGGUAGCAAACAGGAUUAGAUACCCCGGUAGUC
rnacentral:rRNA from 1 species